UUUGCGAUGGUGAAGUGGUCUAACGCACUUGCCUUGUGUCAAGCAGCGUGAGUUCGAAUCCCCCUUUUGCCAAA